rnacentral:rRNA from 1 species
AGAGUUUGAUCCUGGCUCAGAACGAACGCUGGCGGCGCGUCUUAAGCAUGCAAGUCGAGCGGCAAGGCCCUUCGGGGCCCCAGAGCGGCGGACGGGUGAGUAACGCGUGGACAACCUGCCCUUCGGUGGGGGAUAGCCUGCGGAAACGCAGGGUAAUACCGCAUGAGACGCAACGGGCGGAGGCCGGUUGCGGGAAAGGCCCCGAGGGGCCGCCGGGGGAUGGGUCCGCGUCCCAUUAGCUAGACGGCGGGGUGAAGGCCCACCGUGGCGACGAUGGGUAGCCGGCCUGAGAGGGUGGACGGCCACAUUGGAACUGAGACACGGUCCAGACUCCUACGGGAGGCAGCAGCUAAGAAUCUUCCGCAAUGGGCGAAAGCCUGACGGAGCGACGCCGCGUGGACGAUGAAGGCCGUGAGGUUGUAAAGUCCUUUUCGGGGGGGGGAAUGAGGUCCGCAGGGAAUGGCGGGCCGAUGACGUGAACCCCGGAAUAAGCCCCGGCUAACUACGUGCCAGCAGCCGCGGUAACACGUAGGGGGCGAGCGUUGUUCGGAAUCAUUGGGCGUAAAGGGCGCGCAGGCGGCGAGGCAAGUCCGGUGUGAAAGUGCUCGGCUCAACCGAGUGAUGCGCUGGAAACUGCCCUGCUUGAGUACAGGA